CUAAAAGCUCUUUUGUAACCCUAUAAAAGCGCGAUUACUCCAAGCUGCACAGCUUUAUGGCUUUCCAAAGGUAAUGAGGUAGAGAAGACAUCGCAUUGUAGUUGCAGGACAGCGCAAACGCCUGAGUGUGGCAAACACAUAACAGGAAUCCUCAAACCCUGGCCAUGGCCCACUACCAAGCCUUGAACCUUUCAGAACUGGGCUGCAGAAGUGGCAGGAAUCAUGAGUUCCAGAUUUUGGAUGCAUUCUGUUACCUUGAUGUAUAUCUGCCGAUGUAACCCGCUGUAAGCUAAAAAAAAAAAAAAAAAGAGGAUGGAGCACCUGCUCUCUUGAAUUAGUCCGGAACUUGGAUCCUGACGAAAGAUUGAAGAUCAUUGCGGAUUCGUGUGGGAGGAAAAUUGGGUGUGGGCACUUUGAGUAAUUGGGGUAGUAGCUUUAUUGAUUAUUGUGUUUUACAGAUAUAAGCAAUGGUUUUGUGGACAACCAGGGCCCAUUUGAUUUCUCAGUCGUUCCGAUCCCUAAUAUUUCCCCAACCGGCUGCGGAGUGUGAACCUCUUACAGAUGAAAGAAGUCCCUGCUUAGGACACCCUGGAAGCUGCCUUUUGAUGCAAAAGAACAGAAAAGAGAAUUUUCUUUAAAUGUGUUGGUUUUGUAAUUGUGGGUGUGAGUGUUGUUGUUGCACUCACUGUAUUGAUUGUGUUUUAUGUAUAAGCUGUAAGGUAGAGUGGGACGUGAAAUUUAUAGAGGAGGUGCUAGUACAUUAUUUGGUAAUAAAUCCUGAAGAAGUCCCCUUGUAAUAUUAUCUGAAAAUGGAAAAGCUGAAUAUACCCAAAAUCCCUAGCUAUGUAACAAAUACCUUUGUCAAAUUGGCAGAAGACAUAGCCCACACUCUGAAUGUAUCAAAUUGUUUUGUAUGUGGAGGAACUAACAUGGGAGAAAAAUGGCCAUGGGAAGCCCAGGAAUUAAAUUAUUCCAAAGUCUUAGAAAUGGAUCAGAAAGGUAACCUGUCAUAUAAUAAAGGUAAGGAUGGAGACUGGACAUUGACUACUAGUCUGGUAAGGAAUGUCUGUUUCCAGAGAAAAAUUGUGGCAGGCUGUCAUCAGGUAGGAAACCUCAUAUGUACAGGAAAAUGGGAAAGUAAGGUAUGGUGGUCAGGAGGUAAUGCCACAGAGGGAACUGAUGAAAUGGCCCUGUUUAAGGUAAACGGGUUAUUUUUUUUUAAAGGAUCCAGAUAAUCAGGCCCUUGAAUGGCUGGCUCCUGAUGGACUAUACUGGAUAUAUGGUAAAAUGGCAUAUGGGGUUCUACCGAAAUCUUGGUGUGGAGCUUGUGUCCUGGGAAUAAUUGGACCAGGAUUCUUUUUGCUUCCCCUUAAAACUCGACAGGUUUUAGGUGUCCCGGUAUAUGAUGACAAAGACAAAGUAUAAGACAAAGAAGACAUGUAGACACAUCUGCAAUAGGAAAAGUUAUUAAGGAAAUAACAGACAAAAUGGUUGAAAUAGCUCAUGUGCCAGUCCAGACUUGGAAAGGUCUUAAUUUACAGGACAUGUUUUCAGGAUGGUGGCCAAAGUUACCUGGCCUGCAGGCCAUUUUUGGCCUGGUAGGAUUAAUAGCUGUAGGGUGUAUUUUUCUCCUAUGUCUCUUACCUCUGUUUGUUAAGACUAUUUCUAAAAGUCUAUCCUUGCUGGUGGAACGUAAGACAACUGCUCAGGUGAUGGCUAUGUGGGAUUACAAACGGCUCCAGCAGGAAGAGGACCUAUGGUGUGACUCGUCUGGAUAAACAGAUGAGUCACAAAGGGGGGUAUGAGCCAGGCUAAGAUUUGAUAUUGGGAUAAAACUCAAAUAUUAGAAAUCCAAAUCUUUGGUCAAGACAGAAGUGCCUCUUCUGUGCCAAGGUGCUGAGAUGACAAACGGUAUUUGACGUAGGUACAGAAUUGUAAAAGGGCAAACUGACCCUAAACAGAUACAUUCUGUUGUUUAAUGUUUAUUGCAUCCCAAAUGUCAUGCAUAUCCCUGGAUAAGGGGUGCUGCUUCCUUAUUGCCCUUGAGGCGUCUCCUAGCCUCUUAUCUCCUUUUGUUAUGUCUUGAGCGCCGGAGCAGAGAACCUGAGUAUGUGAGAAGAAGAUUGUUAUUUCCUUUCCCAGAGAUAGAUGAAAGGACAGCUUCUACGUGUGAAAUGCAUCACUCUCUGUAAUAAUUUUGCCUUUAAACUGUAUAAAUACAUGGCCAGAAGAAGCCAUCGGCGUUCAGACCUUUUGGACUGUUUGAACCUUGCGCAAUAAACUCUUUCCUGCAUUGAA